rnacentral:rRNA from 1 species
UACGUAGGGCGCAAGCGUUGUCCGGAAUUAUUGGGCGUAAAGGGCUCGUAGGCGGUUUGUCGCGUCGGGAGUGAAACUCAGGGCUUAACCCCGAGCCUGCAGUGGAUACGGGCAGACUAGAGGUAGGUAGGGAGAAUGGAAUUCCCGGUGUAGCGGUGAAAUGCGCAGAUAUCGGGAGGAACACCGGUGGCGAAGGCGGUUCUCUGGGCCUUACCUGACGCUGAGGAGCGAAAGCGUGGGGAGCGAACAGG